UACGAAGGGAGCUAGCGUUGUUCGGAAUCACUGGGCGUAAAGCGUACGUAGGCGGCUUUGUAAGUUAGAGGUGAAAGCCCGGGGCUCAACCCCGGAAUUGCCUUUAAGACUGCAUCGCUUGAACGUCGGAGAGGUGAGUGGAAUUCCGAGUGUAGAGGUGAAAUUCGUAGAUAUUCGGAAGAACACCAGUGGCGAAGGCGGCUCACUGGACGACUGUUGACGCUGAGGUACGAAAGCGUGGGGAGCAAACAGG
rnacentral:rRNA from 1 species